rnacentral:rRNA from 1 species
CACGUAGGGUGCGAGCGUUGUCCGGAAUUAUUGGGCGUAAAGAGCUCGUAGGCGGUUUGUCGCGUCGAAUGUGAAAACCCGGGGCUCAACUCCGGGCCUGCAUUCGAUACGGGCAGACUAGAGUUCGGUAGGGGAGACUGGAAUUCCUGGUGUAGCGGUGAAAUGCGCAGAUAUCAGGAGGAACACCGGUGGCGAAAGCGGCUCUCUGGAACGGUACUGACGCUGAGACGCGAAAGCGUGGGGAGCGAACAGG